CUUGGCUCUGCCCCCGCCGUGGCUGUGCAGACUCGCUCCACGUGGUCCUGGGGAAUGUUCACCCUGAAGCGGGGACUGCAGACGACGCCCCUGCCGCGCCGCAAGGCCCAGAGUGUAACCACCAGAUGGCCGAAGUGAUCCAACCAGGGAAGUACAUGAGGGUCCUGAAAGAGAACCAGAGCAUUCCCAAGGCACGGCCAGGAAUUAAGGAUGUCACCUUAAUGUCUGCAAGCAAUGGGCACUCCAACGUUCAAAGAGUUCAGAAAUUUAAAAUUAUUUUUUGUAGUAUUUCAUACAAUACUACAUGAUGUCACUCUUCUGUGGGACUCCAUUCAUUGGCUCCCUGUAGGCUUUUUUAAGUAAACAUUUUAUUUUAGAACAGUUUUAGAUAUACAGAAUUAUUAUGAAGACCUACAUACCACAUAGCCAAUUUUUCCUUACUAACAUCUUAUAUCAGGGUGGCACAUUUGUCACAAUGAAUGAGCCAAUAUGGAUCCAUUUUUAUUAACUAAAGUUCACUUCAUUCAGACUUCCUUAGUUUUCACUGGAUGUCCUUUUCCUGGUCCAGGAUCCCAUCCAGGACACCGCGUUACAUUGGUUGUCAUGGCUUCUUAAGCUCCUCUUGUUUGGGACAGUUUCUGAGACUUCUGUUGUAUUUUAAGACCUCGACAGUUUUGAGGAUCAGUGGUCAGGUAUUUUGUAGACUGUCCCUCAAUUGGGACUUGUCUGAUAUUUUCUCAUGAUUUGACUGAGGUGACGUGCUCCUGGGAAGAUGACCCUUUAUGCUAGAGCGCCAUUCUCCUCACAUCGCAUCAACAGUACAUAUUUUCAAUAUGACUUCUCACUGUUGGUGUUAACCCUGGUCUCUUGGCUGCUCCACUGUAAAUUCACUCCUUUUUUUCUCCUUUUCAUACUCUAGCCAUGGACAGCCCACAUUUAAAGAGAGGGAGUUAUGCUCUACUUCCUCAGAGGUGAAGCGUUUACAUAAAUUAUUUUUAAUUUCUUCUGCACAAGAUGUUUUCCUAUUCUCUACUUAUUCAAUCAUUUGUUUAUAUCGAUUUGGACUUAUUUAUUUUAUACUUUGGCUUAUAAUCCAACACUACUUUAUCUUGUUGCUCAAAUUGUUCCAACUUUGACCAUUGGGAGAUCUUUCCGUCGGCUACUAUGUCCAUUGACAUCAUUGCUGGUUUUUGUGCAUUUGAUUUGUUCUGUUUCCAAGCACUUUCUGGCACUAUAAGAUGCUACAUUUUGUAUAUAUCUUGCCCCAACCCUAGGAUCAGUCAUUUUUCCAAAGAGUCCUAGUUCCUUUCAUUGGAGAAGGGUAUUAGAAACCAAGAUCUGGGUGCUAGAUGUGCUCAUUGCUAUUGGGGUGUUGUUGCUUCCAGGCCUUCUCAGCUGACAGAGCAAGGAGAUACAUGUGUGUAUAUAUGCAUACGCAUACACAGUCAAUUUGCAUGCCUUUGCACAUGCCAGUCCUUCUAUCUGGAAUAUCUUUCCUUCCCUUCUUCCAAGCAGAAUGUGCUUCUCUUUCUUUUUGCUCCAGGAGCACUGGGAACACACUUCUUGGUGUUACCCGUCACAUCACAGUGCAAUUACUAGUACACCAGGCUUUCUCUCAUCCUAGAGUAUGAGUUUCUCAAUGGGAAAGGGCAGGUCUUCUCUAUCUUCAACAACCCUCGGAGAGAAACUAAGAUGGCGGCAUAGAUAAACACCGGGAAAUUGCUGCUUCCCACAACAAUCGAUAAAUGCAUCAAAAACACAAGGUGGACAUCAUCCAGAACUACAGGAGGGCUG